GGAGGGAAGAAAUUGACGGUACCUCCAGAAGAAGCCCCGGCCAACUACGUGCCAGCAGUCGCGGUAAUACGUAGGGGGCGAGCGUUGUCCGGAAUCAUUGGGCGUAAAGAGCUCGUAGGCGGCUCAGUAAGUCGGCUGUGAAAUUCCUGGGGCUCAACCCCGGAACUGCAGUCGAUACUGCUGUGGCUAGAGUCCGGUAGAGGAGAGUGGAAUUCCCGGUGUAGCGGUGGAAUGCGCAGAUAUCGGGAGGAACACCAGUAGCGAAGGCGGCUCUCUGGGCCGGAACUGACGCUGAGGAGCGAAAGCGUGGGUAGCAAACAGGAUUAGAUACCCUGGUAGUCCACGCCGUAAACGUUGGGUACUAGGUGUGGCGAUCUGACUAACGAUUGCCGUGCCGAAGCUAACGCAUUAAGUACCCCGCCUGGGGAGUACGGCCGCAAGGCUAAAACUCAAAGGAAUUGACGGGUCCCCGCACAAGCGGCGGAGCAUGCGGCUUAAUUCGAUGCAACCCGAAGAACCUUACCUGGACUUGACAUCAUGGGAAAAGCCGUGGAAACACGGUGUGCAUUAGCGUCCAUGACAGGUGGUGCAUGGCUGUCGUCAGCUCGUGUCGUGAGAUGUUGGGUUAAGUCCCGCAACGAGCGCAACCCUUGUCCUAUGUUGCCAGCGGUUCGGCCGGGGACUCAUAGGAGACUGCCGGGGACAACUCGGAGGAAGGUGAGGACGACGUCAAGUCAUCAUGCCCCUUAUGUCCAGGGCUGCACGCAUGCUACAAUGGUCGGUACAACGGGCAGCGAUCCAGCGAUGGUGAGCGAAUCCCUCAAAGCCGGCCCCAGUUCGGAUUGGAGUCUGCAACUCGACUCCAUGAAGCCGGAGUCGCUAGUAAUCGUGGAUCAGCAAAGCCACGGUGAAUGCGUUCUCGGGGAUUGUACACACCGCCCGUCACGUCACGAAAGCCGGCAACACCCGAAGUCAGUGGCCCAACCCUUGGGAGGGAGCUGCCGAAGGUGGGGUCGGUAAUUGGGACG
rnacentral:rRNA from 1 species